rnacentral:rRNA from 1 species
GACGAACGCUGGCGGCGUGCUUAACACAUGCAAGUCGAACGGGCCUGUCUUCUUUUUUGGGGGGUGGGUUGAGUGGCGAACGGGUGAGUAUCACGUGAGUAACCUGCCCUUCGGUCCUGGAUAACCGCUUGAAAGGGCGGCUAAUACGGGGUGGUCCGGUUGGUCCGCAUGGGCUGGUCGGGAUAGAUUCACUGUUUUUGGUGUUUCGGCGGGGGAUGGGCUCGCGGCCUAUCAGCUUGUUGGUGGGGUGAUGGCCUACCAAGGCGGUGACGGGUAGCCGGCCGGAGAGGGUGGGCGGCCACACUGGGACUGAGAUACGGCCCAGACUCCUGCGGGAGGCAGCAGUGGGGGGUAUUGCACAAUGGGCGGAAGCCUGAUGCAGCGACGUCGCGUGAGGGAGGGAGGCCUUCGGGUUGUGAACCUCUGUUUCCGGUGGUGAAGGCCCUGUCCGUGUGGUGGGGUUGACGGUAGCCGGGGAUGAAGCGCCGGCUAACUACGUG